rnacentral:snoRNA from 1 species
UCAAAUGAUGCUCUUCGUAUUAUAUACGCUGGAAAUUACCGACUGAGGCUUUCGAGUCUUUGACGAUAUCAAAUGGCUAAAUCUGAUC